rnacentral:lncRNA from 1 species
AACCCUAGUGAGCUCUUACAAUCCACCAGUGACACCUAGCAGUAUGUAGUGGCAACCCAGUAGAACCAAAAAUAAAUCUCAAGGUAUAGUUAGCAUGUGAUUCAAUCCUUCUAUCAUAAGUUCUGACUGGAUGGCAGGUCAUAGAUAAAUCAUCAAACCUCAUCAUCCGUCAUAUGAUAGAUUCGAUCAGCUCAAGUCUAAUUGUAAUUUCUAUGAAAAUUUUUUCUAUCAAUCACACUACUAUGGCUAUAGAUUUUUAGACUUAGCCUCUCAAAUUUUAUAAGACUACUCCUCUCUAUCA